rnacentral:rRNA from 1 species
UGGGGAAUUUUGGACAAUGGGCGAAANCCUGAUCCAGCAAUGCCGCGUGUGUGAAGAAGGCCUUCGGGUUGUAAAGCACUUUUGUCCGGAAAGAAAUCCUUGGCUCUAAUACAGUCGGGGGAUGACGGUACCGGAAGAAUAAGCACCGGCUAACUACGUGCCAGCAGCCGCGGUAAUACGUAGGGUGCAAGCGUUAAUCGGAAUUACUGGGCGUAAAGCGUGCGCAGCCGGUUUGCUAAGACCGAUGUGAAAUCCCCGGGCUCAACCUGGGAACUGCAUUGGUGACUGGCAGGCUAGAGUAUGGCAGAGGGGGGUAGAAUUCCACGUGUAGCAGUGAAAUGCGUAGAGAUGUGGAGGAAUACCGAUGGCGAAGGCAGCCCCCUGGGCCAAAUACUGACGCUCAUGCACGAAAAGCGUGGGGAGCAAACAGGAUUAGAUACCCUGGUAGUCCACGCCCUAAAACGAUGUCAACUAGUUGUUGGGGAUUCAUUUCCUUAGUAACGUAGCUAACGCGUGAAGUUGACCGCCUGGGGAGUACGUCGCAAGAUUAAAACUCAAAUGAAUUGACGGGGUCAUGCUGUUUCCU